rnacentral:rRNA from 1 species
GAUGAACGCUGGCGGCGUGCUUAACACAUGCAAGUCGAACGAUGAAGCCCAGCUUGCUGGGUGGAUUAGUGGCGAACGGGUGAGUAACACGUGAGUAACCUGCCCUUGACUCUGGGAUAAGCGCUGGAAACGGCGUCUAAUACCGGAUACGAGCUUCCACCGCAUGGUGAGUUGCUGGAAAGAAUUUCGGUCAAGGAUGGACUCGCGGCCUAUCAGGUAGUUGGUGAGGUAACGGCUCACCAAGCCGACGACGGGUAGCCGGCCUGAGAGGGUGACCGGCCACACUGGGACUGAGACACGGCCCAGACUCCUACGGGAGGCAGCAGUGGGGAAUAUUGCACAAUGGGCGCAAGCCUGAUGCAGCAACGCCGCGUGAGGGACGAAGGCCUUCGGGUCGUAAACCUCUUUUAGCAGGGAAGAAGCGAAAGUGACGGUA